AAGUCGUAACAAGGUUUCCGUAGGUGAACCUGCGGAAGGAUCAUUAACACGUACGAAAGUACACACCAACACUGAGCACCUUUUUGGUACAACCUCUCCCUUUCGAUGUGGGCUGUUAGUAUGAAUGCUGCUAUAGGACAUUCAUCUAGCAGGCUCGUGUCUUUACACGAACCCACUCUGAAGGUUACCUUUCCUUAGCACAUUUUACCAUUAUCACCUAUAAUUACAUUUGUCUAAUGUAGCGGCACAGAGAAAUCCAUGCGGCUUGAUUAUCUAAACUAAGCACAACUCUUAGCAAUGGAUAUCUAGGUUCUC
rnacentral:misc_RNA from 1 species